CUUAUAUCACUGUCCCAGUAGUGCAUGCAGUCAUCAUCUUCUUCUUCUUCUGUUUCUCAGGUUGGGUGUUUAAUCUGUGGUUGUUGUUGGGUUUUAGAAUUGAUGGUUUAUGCAGGUACAUCUCAUUCAUUCAUUUUUUUACAAAUCAGAUUGUUUAGUUACGCUAGGUGCAUUUUGUUGUUUAUUGAUGUAAGAUUUGUUGUUCUUUUUUCCCUGUGACUUGUGAUAAGGCUAGAGGAUAUGGUGACAUUUCAUCCUUGGAGGACCACGUGUCAUAGUCCUCACAAGAGGAUGGUCACUAUAAGGGUAUCGGAGGAUGAUCCUACCCACCACUUUUUUUAUUUUUUAUUUUAUUUCUAUGCCCUAUGUACAAGUAUUGAAGCCUAAUGUACAAAUCCCUAACACAAACAAACAACAAAGGGGGCCACCAUUGGAGACUGUCGCCACCGUCGGAACUUCGACGUUGAAGACAGGACGGGUUGGAGGACGAGGGGGGCGGGAUGGGGCCGACGCCGGCGCCGGUGGAGGACGGACCGUCCUUUUAGUCCAUACCGUGCAGCCUAAUAUUUGGGUUGGGAGUCUGUUGUUGUUACUGUUUGUUUGAUGAGUUAUGUGGUGUGUUCAUCAAUUGUUCCAUUGUCGACUCAAGUUCUCAGUUGCACAUUUUCAUAUACCUCUAAUUCCUUAACACACCAUCACUGCAAUCUGUGGCCUGCAUUUAAAAAAGUUCAGUUGGUCACCUGAUUCAAAAGGGAUAGUAUCUUAGCUCAGGUGGGCUGUUGGUACUUUAAUUUGGUUUGCUUUGCUUUGUAGAGGCCAUGUUGUCAACUUUCGUCAGUAGUAUACUCUUGAAUAACUCAAAUCUGAUAGUUGGUGUUGUGGUUGUCGGUUACCCGCAUCUCCAUGUACGACCUAAAAGAUCUAUUUUACAACAUUUUGAUGCACACGAAGUCACCCUGUGCACUAGGUGCGUGCCUAGCUGCGCUUUAACUCGUUUUUUGUGCGCCUCAACAUCAUCUUUUGUACAUAUUGCGUCUUACUUACACAAAAACAAAGGAACUUCCGCCUUAGGUCACCUUUCGCUUAUUAGACACACCUCGUAAACACUUUUUAAAACUAACGUAUAGCACAAUAAGAAAACUAUUUAUUUUCGUAGGUAUUUUCUAUAAUAUAUUAGUCUAUAUACUACCGCUUGGUUAAUUCGACCCGAGAGAGUUGAAAUAUUUUUGUUGAACUUCGUCUUCCUACAUCGUCUUUCCUUCAUCAGCGUAUAUAAGCUGCAAGACACAGCAUAGAGCAACAAAAAUCAACAUAGAUACCAGCGAAAAAGUUCAGUUAAUUCGACCCAUUUUCUAAUGCUUUAGCAGCCUGUGGCCUGCAUUUUAAAAAGUUCAGUUGGUCCAUCUGAGUUACCUGAUCCAAAAGGGAUGUUAUGCGGUUCAGGUGGUGUGGAUGGACUAGCUGCACUUUUUAAAUAGUUCAGUUGGCUGCUUUUGUCUAAGUUCAUUGCGGAUCAUAAACACGCAACAUUUAAUGUGAUAUGAUCAUUGUCUUAUAUGUGAAAUUUUUUCAACAUUUUACUUCUUUUAAAACUAAACGCAAACUGACAAAGACGAGAUACAAGAUAUUUAAAAGACAUUAAAUCGUCAAAGUGCUGGGUUCAUAACAUCUAGGUAGUUUCUGGUUGAAUUGUUCUUCCAUUUGUGUUCAGUAUGUUCUUGCGGUUAGUCGGCUGUUGAGGGUGAUGCAUGAAAUGUGGGUUUUCUGUGUACAGUGUUGUUUGUUUAUGCUUUGUUAGUGUAGUUUAAUAGUUGCGAGUACGUUUUUAAAUUUUUGAUGGUAGGUCUCUUUGCCGUAAGAUUUUCAUUUUGCAUGGUGACGCUUGUUUCUCCUUUUAGCAUCCGCGUUUGAAACGUAGGCGUUGUGCCUCCUGUGUUGAUGAUGUUCCUUUCUCUGCCAAUGCUUCCUUUCCUACCAGAAAUGCCACUCACAGGCAGACUGAUUAUCACGCCGCCAUUGCAUGUUCAAAGAACUAUUCCCAGUGAUUGGCCUGUUUCCGUCCAGGAGUUGGAUCGUUCAACACCGGCUGAGUAUCUGGAUUUGGGGAGUUGUACAAAAGCUUGUGAGUAUUGUCAAACGUUGUUUUGGUAUGAUGAAAGGUUGGUUUCGUCUCUGGUGAUUCUUGGGCCUAAAUAUAACAAGUGUUGCAGCAUGUCCAAAAUGUGGUAAAUCCAUACUACAAGUCGACACUGAAUGGUUCUAUACAAAAGACGGGACACAAGAAAAAGCCAAUACCAUGUACCAAAUCAUCACUAUAGCAACCGACAACGCAGGAAGAAUCCAAGCAGUGAUUUUCGACCGUGCAGGCAAGCAACUGUUAGGAAUGAUAUGCGAAGAACUAGCCGCAAACGAAGACCCCAUUAAAACCUUGUAAGGUGUUAUGGGCAAAGAAGCAUACAUGAACAUCCCGCUACAACAUGACAUGAAGAUGCGCGCAUUGAAAUGCGUCGUUAACAAAGUUAUAUAUCCGGCAGCCAAGAACACUGAACCAGUUUCCUCCGGUCUCUCUCUGGUGCGAUAAAACACCUCAUCCAACCACGCCAGCUCAAAAAGCAAACACUGAAGACUGCCAGAUGCAUAUACAAGCAUCAUGUCACGGGCCAAAUAUUUGAACGUUGGAAUGCUAUGGGUUGUGCUUGAACACUUGGGUUACUGGCUAGUCCUGGACUUUAUCGGGGAUGGAGUCAGUGUCAAUGAAGAAGUGUACGUGCCUAGUUGUGUCUGCGACGAACGCACCACUGGUCAAGAGCUGGCGCCGCUCUCCUGAUGAGUCCAAGGUAGGACGAAACCAGUGACCCACACAAAGAAGCGGGAUGGAUUGGCUUGUCGCUGGAUAUUUGGGGACGCCACACGAGGGUCGAAAACUAACCACGUGACAAUCAGCCAUGUAAAAAGCUAGCUAAUGGUUGAAUAUUAAUGGCACUAAUAUGUAUACCUAGGCAUACUAUUUUUUGAUGAGUGCGUCUGCAAAAGAGCAUAAUAACUAAAUGAUUCUCAGUUAUUGACAUAACAAAA